rnacentral:misc_RNA from 1 species
ACCGUCUAUCGCGGAAUCCAAACGUUGUUGCUGCCCCUUCUUAUCCCUUGCCUCUACCUAGGCUCGGGCUGGACCCUGAUGCGGUUCGAGUGCCCCAAGCACGCCCACUCGGCUGCUAUGGAUCACUCGUUCCCGCUCGUGCAUUCGGAUGCCGAACGCUAAGCGAUGCCGGGGCGCGCCCAGCAGCCACCGCAUGACCCUAAACAACGAGCGAAACUUCGCUCCCCGAGAAUGACCACCGCCGCGCUGGCUCUUCCAUCCAACCGUUCGCUCGGCGAUGGGAGCUAGCACGCCGCGGUGCCUUCAAGGGCCGCUACCUGGUUGAUCCUGCCAGUAGUCAUAUGCUUGUCUCAAA